AUGCUCGCUUCGGCAGCACAUAUACUAAAAUUGGAACAACACAGAGAAGAUUAGCAUGGCCCCUGCGUGAGGAUGACAUGUAAAUUCAUGAAGCAUAAAUAAAAAAA